rnacentral:rRNA from 1 species
GCCCUUAGAGUUUGAUCCUGGCUCAGAUUGAACGCUGGCGGAAUGCUUUACACAUGCAAGUCGAGCGGCAGCGCGGGGCAACCUGGCGGCGAGCGGCGAACGGGUGAGUAAUGCAUCGGAACGUACCCAGUCGUGGGGGAUAACGUAGCGAAAGUUACGCUAAUACCGCAUACGUCCUGAGGGAGAAAGCGGGGGACCGAAAGGCCUCGCGCGAUUGGAGCGGCCGAUGUCUGAUUAGCUAGUUGGUGGGGUAAAGGCCUACCAAGGCGACGAUCAGUAGCGGGUCUGAAAGGAUGAUCCGCCACACUGGGACUGGAACACGGCCCAAACUCCUACGGGAGGCAGCAGUGGGGAAUUUUGGACAAUGGGGGCAACCCUGAUCCACCCAUUUCGCGUGGGUGAAGAAGGCCUUCGGGUUGUAAAGCCCCUUUCGGCCGGAACGAAACGGGGUGGGGCUAAUACCCUUUUUCUUAUGACGGUACCGGAAGAAAGAAGCACCGGCUAACUACGUGCCAGCAGCCGCGGUAAUACGUAGGGUGUCGAAGCGUUAAUUGGGAAUUACAUGGGCGCAAAGCGUGCGGCAGGCCGGCUAUUUUAGCCACGAUGUGGAAAUUCCCCGGGGCUUAACCUGGGGAACUGCAUUUGGAACUGGAUGGCUUAGAGUGCGGGCAGAAGGGAGGUGGAAUCCCCACGUGUAGCAGUGAAAUGCGUAGAGAUGUGGAGGAACACCGAUGGCGAAGGCAGCCUUCUGGGCUGACACUGACGCUCAUGCACGAAAGCGUGGGGGAGCAAACAGGAUUAGAUACCCUGGUAGUCCACGCCCUAAACGAUGUCAACUGGUUGUUGGGGGAGUGAAAUCCCUUGGUAACGAAGCUAACGCGUGAAGUUGACCGCCUGGGGAGUACGGUCGCAAGAUUAAAACUCAAAUGAAUUGACGGGGAAGGGC